CAAGGUACUUAGGGAAAUAAUAUAUGGAUAUACAUGUUUUCUUCCAUCAUUCAAGCAAAUAAGGAUGAAGAUUUCUACUUCAGUGCCAGUUACAGAGGCUCAAAGUCCAAGAUUGAGGUGCCAGCAUGCUUGGGUUCUGCUCCAUCAGGAAAAGGGCAGGAAAGGACAGCACAAAGAUGUUCCAACAAGUAACUUCUCACUGCUGCAUCCAGUCAACUUCACGUAAAGAUACAAACUUCAAAGUAUUUUUUCUUUUCUUCACAGUCAUUUCAAGAUUGACACAUCCCUGACUUUACCCAGGUAUGAUAAAUCUAACUGGGAUGUGGCAGAGUGGGGGAGGGUAGAUGCA